rnacentral:rRNA from 1 species
AGCGAACGCUGGCGGCAGGCCUAACACAUGCAAGUCGAACGAAGUCUUCGGACUUAGUGGCGGACGGGUGAGUAACACGUGGGAACGUGCCAUUAGGUUCGGAAUAACUCAGGGAAACUUGUGCUAAUACCGAAUGUGCCCUUCGGGGGAAAGAUUUAUCGCCUUUAGAGCGGCCCGCGUCUGAUUAGCUAGUUGGUGAGGUAAAGGCUCACCAAGGCGACGAUCAGUAGCUGGUCUGAGAGGAUGAUCAGCCACAUUGGGACUGAGACACGGCCCAAACUCCUACGGGAGGCAGCAGUGGGGAAUCUUGCGCAAUGGGCGAAAGCCUGACGCAGCCAUGCCGCGUGAAUGAUGAAGGUCUAGGAUUGUAAAAUUCUUUCACCGGGGACGAUAAUGACGGUACCCGGAGAAGAAGCCCCGGCUAACUUCGUGCCAGCCGCCGCGGUAA